UAGCGUUGUCCGGAUUUAUUGGGCGUAAAGAGCGUGUAGGCGGCCAGGUAGGUCUGCUGUGAAAACUCGAGGCUCAACCUCGAGAUGUCGGCGGAAACCAUCUGGCUAGAGUCCGGAAGAGGAGAGUGGAAUUCCUGGUGUAGCGGUGAAAUGCGCAGAUAUCAGGAAGAACACCCGUGGCGAAGGCGGCUCUCUGGGACGGUACUGACGCUGAGACGCGAAAGCGUGGGGAGCGAACAGG
rnacentral:rRNA from 1 species